AGUGGCGGACGGGUGAGUAACACGUGAGAAUUUACCUUUAGGAGGGGGAUAACAAUCGGAAACGAAUGCUAAUACCCCAUAUGCUUUUGAGUGAAAUGGAUUUAUUCGCCUAAAGAGAAGCUCGCGGCUGAUUAGCUUGUUGGUGAGGUAAAAGCUUACCAAGGCGACGAUCAGUAUCUGGUUUGAGAGGACGAUCAGACACACUGGAACUGAGACACGGUCCAGACUCCUACGGGAGGCAGCAGUGGGGAAUUUUCCGCAAUGGGCGAAAGCCUGACGGAGCAAUACCGCGUGAGGGAAGACUGCCUAUGGGUUGUAAACCUCUUUUUUCAGGGAGGAAAAAAAUGACGUGUACCUGAAGAAUAAGCAUCGGCUAACUCCGUGCCAGCAGCCGCGGUAAGACGGAGGAUGCAAGUGUUAUCCGGAAUCACUGGGCGUAAAGCGUCUGUAGGUGGUUUAAUAAGUCAACUGUUAAAUCUUGAGGCCCAACUUCAAAAUCGCAGUCGAAACUAUUAGACUCGAGUAUAGUAGAGGUAAAGGGAAUUUCCAGUGGAGCGGUGAAAUGCGUAGAUAUUGGAAAGAACACCGAUGGCGAAGGCACUUUACUGGGCUAUUACUAACACUCAGAGACGAAAGCUAGGGUAGCAAAUGGGAUUAGAUACCCCAGUAGUCCUAGCUGUAAACUAUGGAUACUAGA
rnacentral:rRNA from 1 species